GACAGAGGGUGCAAACGUUGUUCGGAAUUACUGGGCGUAAAGCGCGUGUAGGCUGCUUCGAAAGUCGGAUGUGAAAUCCCUGGGCUCAACCCAGGAACUGCGUCCAAGACUGGGAGGCUUGAAUCCGGGAGAGGGAUGCGGAAUUCCAGGUGUAGCGGUGAAAUGCGUAGAUAUCUGGAGGAACACCGGUGGCGAAGGCGGCAUCCUGGACCGGUAUUGACACUGAGGCGCGAAAGCCAGGGGAGCAAACGGG
rnacentral:rRNA from 1 species